UACGGGGGGUGCGAGCGUUGUCCGGAGUCACUGGGCGUAAAGGGUGCGUAGGUGGCGGGGUAAGUUUGAUGUGAAAUCUCCGGGCUUAACCCGGAAACUGCAUUGAAUACUAUUCUGCUCGAGGUUUGGAGGGGGGACUGGAAUUCUCGGUGUAGCAGUGAAAUGCGUAGAUAUCGAGAGGAACACCAGUGGCGAAGGCGAGUCCCUGGACAACACCUGACACUGAGGCACGAAAGCUAGGGGAGCAAACAGG
rnacentral:rRNA from 1 species